rnacentral:rRNA from 1 species
AGAGGGCGUGAAACCGCUUGGAAGGAAACGAGAGGCGAGGCAGCAAGCCGGUGGAAUUCAGUUGGCCGCCUCCUGGCCAAUGCAUUUUCCAUCGGUGUGCGUCGGGACUGAUCUGUUGAUGUCGGUGCCUUGGCUGUAGGGAACCGCGUAUGUGGAACUUUGCAGUCUUGGUUCUCCCAUCGAUGGACUUGUAGUCAUCCAGCCAUAUGGGAGUGAGCUGGUAGCGCUUUGGGUUGGCUGCUCUUGUUGAGAACACUCGGCUUGGGCGGUUGGCUUUGUGCGUUGCCGGUAUGUGCAUGUUGGGUGUCCUGGCGUUAAUGUCGGCUACCCUCCCGACCCGUCUUGAAACACGGACCAAGGAGUCUAACAUGUGCGCGAGUCAUUGGGUGUCAAACUCAUAGGCGCAAUGAAAGUGAAUGUCGGCUCGGUCGACUGAUACAUGACCCGGCGGCUUGCUGUCGGAGCAAUGUAGUCCCAUCCCGAUUGCUCGUCAAUGGGGUGGAGACAGAGCGUAUUUGUUGGGACCCGAAAGAUGGUG